rnacentral:rRNA from 1 species
AUUGAACGCUAGCGGGAUGCUUUACACAUGCAAGUCGAACGAGUGGCGGACGGGUGAGUAAUAAAUCGGCAUGUGCCCAGUAGCGGGGGAUAACUAACCGGAAGAGUGGCUAAUAACGCAUACUAUUGGCGCGGCCGAUAUCGGAUUAGAGAGGUGGUGGGGCAAAGGCUCACAAAGGCAACGAUCCGUAGCUGGUUUGAGAGGACGACCAGCCACACUGGAAAUGAGACACGGCCCAGACUCCUACGGGAGGCAGCAGUGGGGAAUUUUGGACAAUGGGGGAAACCCUGAUCCAGCCAUGCCGCGUGUAUGAGAAGGCCUUCGGGUUGUAAAGUACUUUUGGCAGGGAAGCGGUAUCUGCAGAAUAAGCACCGGCUAACUACGUGCCAGCAGCCGCGGUAAUUC